rnacentral:ncRNA from 2 species
CAAAUACAGCAUAAAAGGUGAACUCUGUGAAAUUCAGAGACUGUCCCGCAACGGUUAGAGUCCGAGCCCUUCAAUAUU